rnacentral:rRNA from 1 species
ACAAGCGGUGGAGCAUGUGGUUAAUUCGACGCAACGCGAAGAACCUUACCAGGGCUUGACAUCCCCUGACCGCGUAUGAAAGUACGUUUUCACCCUCGGGUGACAGGGAGACAGGUGGUGCAUGGUUGUCGUCAGCUCGUGUCGUGAGAUGUUGGGUUAAGUCCCGCAACGAGCGCAACCCCUACGUUUAGUUGCUAACAGGUGAAGCUGAGCACUCUAGACGAACUGCCGUUGACAAAACGGAGGAAGGUGGGGAUGACGUCAAAUCAUCAUGCCCCUUAUGUUCUGGGCUACACACGUGCUACAAUGGCCGGUACAGACGGAGGCGAAGCCGCGAGGCGGAGCAAAUCCGAAAAAGCCGGUCUCAGUUCGGAUUGCAGGCUGCAAUUCGCCUGCAUGAAGUCGGAAUCGCUAGUAAUCGCAGGUCGGCAUACUGCGGUGAAUACGUUCCCGGGCCUU